rnacentral:rRNA from 1 species
GAUGAACGCUGGCGGCGUGCCUAAUACAUGCAAGUCGAGCGAACAGACGAGGAGCUUGCUCCUCUGACGUUAGCGGCGGACGGGUGAGUAACACGUGGAUAACCUACCUAUAAGACUGGGAUAACUUCGGGCAACCGGAGCUAAUACCGGAUAAUAUAUUGAACCGCAUGGUUCAAUAGUGAAAGACGGUUUUGCUGUCACUUAUAGAUGGAUCCGCGCCGCAUUAGCUAGUUGGUAAGGUAACGGCUUACCAAGGCAACGAUGCGUAGCCGACCUGAGAGGGUGAUCGGCCACACUGGAACUGAGACACGGUCCAGACUCCUACGGGAGGCAGCAGUAGGGAAUCUUCCGCAAGGGGCGAAAGCCUGACGGAGCAACGCCGAGUGAGUGAUGAAGGUCUUCGGAUCGUAAAACUCUGUUAUUAGGGAAGAACAAAUGUGUAAGUAACUAUGCACGUCUUGACGGUACCUAAUCAGAAAGCCACGGCUAACUACGUG